rnacentral:rRNA from 1 species
AGAGUUUGAUCCUGGCUCAGGAUGAACGCUGGCGGCGUGCUUAACACAUGCAAGUCGAACGAAGCACUUUAUUUGAUUUCCUUCGGGACUGAUUAUUUUGUGACUGAGUGGCGGACGGGUGAGUAACGCGUGGGUAACCUGCCUUGUACAGGGGGAUAACAGUUGGAAACGGCUGCUAAUACCGCAUAAGCGCACAGCAUCGCAUGAUGCAGUGUGAAAAACUCCGGUGGUAUAAGAUGGACCCGCGUUGGAUUAGCUAGUUGGUGAGGUAACGGCCCACCAAGGCGACGAUCCAUAGCCGACCUGAGAGGGUGACCGGCCACAUUGGGACUGAGACACGGCCCAAACUCCUACGGGAGGCAGCAGUGGGGAAUAUUGCACAAUGGGCGAAAGCCUGAUGCAGCGACGCCGCGUGAGCGAAGAAGUAUUUCGGUAUGUAAAGCUCUAUCAGCAGGGAAGAUAAUGACGGUACCUGACUAAGAAGCACCGGCUAAAUACGUGCCAGCAGCCGCGGUAAUACGUAUGGUGCAAGCGUUAUCCGGAUUUACUGGGUGUAAAGGGAGCGCAGGCGGUGCGGCAAGUCUGAUGUGAAAGCCCGGGGCUCAACCCCGGUACUGCAUUGGAAACUGUCGUACUAGAGUGUCGGAGGGGUAAGCGGAAUUCCUAGUGUAGCGGUGAAAUGCGUAGAUAUUAGGAGGAACACCAGUGGCGAAGGCGACUUACUGGACUGUAACUGACGCUGAGGCGCGAAAGUGUGGGGAGCAAACAGGAUUAGAUACCCUGGUAGUCCACACUGUAAACGAUGAAUGCUAGGUGUAGGUGGUAUCGACCCCAUCUGUGCCGGAGUAAACACAAUAAGCAUUCCGCCUGGGGAGUACGGCCGCAAGGUUGAGACUCAAAGGAAUUGACGGGGGCCCGCACAAGCAGCGGAGCAUGUGGUUUAAUUCGAAGCAACGCGAAGAACCUUACCAGGUCUUGACAUCCAGUAAAGCCUGCAGAGAUGCAGAGUGUCUUCGGACAUACUGAGACAGGUGGUGCAUGGUUGUCGUCAGCUCGUGUCGUGAGAUGUUGGGUUAAGUCCCGCAACGAGCGCAACCCUUAUGAUUAGUUACUAACGGGUAAAGCCGAGGACUCUAAUGAGACUGCCGGGGACAACUCGGAGGAAGGUGGGGACGACGUCAAAUCAUCAUGCCCCUUAUGACCUGGGCUACACACGUGCUACAAUGGCCACUACAAAGAGGAGCGAGCCCGUAAGGGGGAGCGGAUCUCAAAAAAGUGAUCCCAGUUCGGAUUGUGGGCUGCAACCCGCCCACAUGAAGUCGGAGUUGCUAGUAAUCGCGGAUCAGCAUGCCGCGGUGAAUACGUUCCCGGGCCUUGUACACACCGCCCGUCACACCAUGGGAGUUGGGAGUGCCCAAAGUCGGCGAGGUAACCGCAAGGAGCCAGCCGCCUAAGGCAAGACCAAUGACUGGGGUGAAGUCGUAACAAGGUA